rnacentral:rRNA from 1 species
UACGUGGGGUGCGAGCGUUGUCCGGAAUUCUUGGGCGUAAAGGGCUCGUAGGCGGUUUGUCGCGUCGGGAGUGAAAACUCAGGGCUUAACCCUGAGCCUGCUUCCGAUACGGGCAGACUAGAGGUAUGCAGGGGAGAACGGAAUUCCUGGUGUAGCGGUGAAAUGCGUAGAUAUCAGGAGGAACACCGAUGGCGAAGGCAGCUGCCUGGCCUAACACUGACGCUGAGGUGCGAAAGCGUGGGGAGCGAACGGG